GUGGAGGCAGAUGGGGCAGUGAGGGGCCGGGGAACACUGGCAUUCUGGGUCAUCUGGUCCCUUGCUCCCUAAAACCCAGAUGGACACCUGCCCCUAGCACCAGAUCCUCCUCAGCUCUCCUGGGUGGAGGGACCGUUCCCCGGGAAACAGAUCCCGUGGGGCGGGAGCGCCCCAGCUCUCCCGUUGCUAUGGUGAACCCGAUCCCCACCCCCCGGGGUUUCUCACGGCCUUGUAGCUGAGAAGACAGGCUCCGCCCCCGCCCCAGCUUCUUGGUUCUGGAGCCCGAAAGGGUUAAAACUUGAAUCGUGGGGUGGGGGGCAAUCCAGGCGUUCUGGCCCCUCCUCCCCUUCCCCCCCCCCGUCUCCAGCUCGGGUUCCCGUUGAGGGGGUGCAAAGACGAAAGGGCCUGGCUUCCCUGAGGGCCUGCACAUCAGGCCGUAAGGACCUGGGAGCUAUAUCCUGAUUGAGGAGUGGGUGGAGGCCUGGACUCCUGGAUGUUUGGGGGGCAGGGGGCUCAUGUGGGUCCAGAGGAUCCAAGGGACCCGGAUUCUUAGAUCCAAGCGCCUGCUGCCUGGUCAUCAACCUGUCCUGAUUCCUCAGAAAGCUGGACAGGACUUGAUGGCCGGUUGAAGACCUCAAGACUCUUCAAUUAGAGAGAUGUCUUCACACAUGAGUCUGGAGACGCUGGUGGCUGGGUGGAGACAAGGGUCACGUGAACUGGAGCCGUCACUGCUUCCUGGGAUCCGGACCAAGUUCUUUUUCUUGGAGAAAGAGCCUGAGGCCCAGGACGGGUCUCACUAUGGAGCCAAGGCUAGCCUUGAACUCAUGAUUCUCCUGCUUCAGUCUCCUGAGUGCUGGGGUUACAGUGAUCGAAGUGGACCCUGAGUCUCACUGAAUGAACAAAGAAUGGCAAAGCGACUUAGACCCAACCUGGUGGAAGGCGGUCCCAUCCAGCCGGAUCCCAUCUCGGAACCACAGUAGUUCAGGGGCAGGUUGGGCAUCCCCUCGACUCCGACAGUUCCACAGGCUUAAUGUGGAGGUCGUGCUGGCCACUGGCUGCAUUCCCUGAUAUCCAGUACCGGGACCACCCUGAAGACGGAAGAGACAAUAUAUAAUUCUGAACUCCUGG